rnacentral:rRNA from 1 species
UUCCCCUCCGGGGGUAGUAUGCACGCAAGUGUGAAACUUGAAGGAAUUGACGGAAGGGCACCACAAGAACGCGUGGAGCAUGUG